AUGCGUAUUUCAUGGGGUAUGUCAGAUGACGUGAGAAGUUUUAGUCCUCUCUCUCAUCACCCAUGGACAGAAUCCUUUUCCCAAAUCUGACACGCCCUUCAGGUGAGCCAUGUCACCCACUCCCCAUCUGAGGGUCAGUUUGUGGGCAUUUCUGUUACUGCUGGGAUUUCUGUUCCUCAUCCUCUGAUGCGUUGGUCAGAGGUCUGCUGUCUGAUGCUU
rnacentral:lncRNA from 1 species